rnacentral:lncRNA from 1 species
CUGUUGAGGAAUGAUUAGGUCAUGACAGUGGAGCCCUCAUAGAUGGGAUUACAGCCUUUAUUAAAUAAAUAAAUAAAUGAAUGACUAAAUGGAAAAAAAAAAACCUGAGGGGUUUUCCUCUUUCUCCCCUAGGACACAGAAAGAAGGGGCUGUCUAUGAACCAGGAAACAAGUCCUCACCAGACAUAAAAUCUGUCAAUGCCUUGAUCCUGGCCUUCCCAGCCUCCAGAACUUAAUACUGAGAGUGGCAGAAGAGGGAAAUUACCAUGAGAGUGGAAGUGACCACAUUGCUCUUCAACUCUCGCUGCUGAUUCUUAGGCAUUGAUUUUGCUGAUUCGAUGGAUACAGCAGAAAAGAAAAUGGAAAGAAUGCUAGAACUGGAGUUGCAUUACAUUGGAAAAGGCAUGGAAAUGUCACUGAGGAAGAGAUGGGCAUGAAAGGUAUUGGGACUGACAUCAAAGAGUGGGUGGGGUAAAGAGUGCAUUUGAGAAGAGAGUAGAGAGGAGACUUUUGGGCUGCCAAUGGGAAUGGAAUUCGGGUGGAGAGAAGUAAAUAAAGCAUACAUUGCAAAGUGUUUUUGCUAGAGCAAAACAUUCACUUCAUAGUG